UACGUAGGGCGCAAGCGUUAUCCGGAAUUAUUGGGCGUAAAGAGCUCGUAGGCGGUUUGUCGCGUCUGCCGUGAAAGUCCGGGCUCAACUCCGGAUCUGCGGUGGGUACGGCAGACUAGAGUUCGGUAGGGGAGAUUGGAAUUCCUGGUGUAGCGGUGGAAUGCGCAGAUAUCAGGAGGAACACCGGUGGCGAAGGCGGGUCUCUGGGCAGUAACUGACGCUGAGGAGCGAAAGCGUGGGGAGCGAACAGG
rnacentral:rRNA from 1 species